GGGCGCCCGCGGGAGUCACGUGAGUCUCCGGGCCAAGGCGAGGGAGGGAGGCGCCGGCGCACCUGGCGCCCUGGGCCGCCCCGGCCUCCCGGGUUAGGGCCUCCGGGUUACAGCCCCUCCGCGCCGGCUGUGCUCGUCCCCGCGACCGGGCGGCGCCACGCCGCAGACCUCGGGGUCGCCCUGCUCGAGCCCCGGGCCAGGUGGCUGUUCCCGCGGGGGAAGGCGGCGGGCGGCGCCGGCGGCGGGGGACACGGGCGGGGACCGAGCGGCCUCCUGGGCGCGGUGCGGAGCUGCGGCGCGGUGAGUAGAGUACGAGCACCUGCGGGGACCCGGGCGAGGAGGAGCACCUGCGGGGGACCCGGGGCGAGGAGGAGCACCUGCGGGGGACCCGGGGCGAGGAGGAGCACCUGCGGGGACCUGGGGGAUCAGGAGGAGCACCUGCGGGGACCCGGGGCGAGGAGGAGCACCUGCGGGGGACCCGGGGCGAGGAGGAGCACCUGCGGGGGACCCGGGGCGAGGAGGAGCACCUGCGGGGGACCCAGGGCGAGGAGGAGCACCUGCGGGGACCCGGGGCGAGGAGGAGCACCUGCGGGGGACCCGGGGGCUCAGGAGGAGCACCUGCGGGGGACCCAGGGCGAGGAGGAGCACCUGCGGGGACCCGGGGCGAGGAGGAGCACCUGCGGGGACCCGGGCGAGGAGGAGCACCUGCGGGGAACCCGGGUGCUCAGGAGGAGCACCUGCGGGGACCCGGGGCGAGGAGGAGCACCUGCGGGGGACCCGGGGAAUCAGGAGAAGCACCUGCGGGGACCCGGAGGCUCAGGAGGAGCACCUGCGGGGACCCAGGGCGAGGAGGAGCACUGUGGGGACCCGGGGGCUCAGGAGGAGCCCCUGCGGGGGACCCGGGGGCCAGGAGGAGCCCCUGCGGGGGACCCUGGGGCCGAGUACGAGCUCCUGGGGGGCCCGGGGGCCCAGUACCAGCACCUGCGGGGGACCCGGGGGCUUUGCGGCGGAGCCUCUCGUGAUUUUCCAGAACACGCUGAUGCUUAAAAGGAAAAACCAAAGCUCAGAAGUCAGGAGUCCAGCGCUGCCAACUGUACCCAAGAGGCGGGCGGAGCUCGCCGGGAGCGUGGAGGAAAUUAGCACGAAACUAAAAGUGAAAUCUUGGCUGCAGUAGAACGAGCCUUAGUGACCAGAACGUGCCAACUACUAACCAAAACCAAAACAAAAACAAAACAAAAAAAGACCCUCCAUAGAAGCUCACAGUGACAGGCAAAAUCGAGAAUAAAAAACAUUUACUUAAUAAAUGAAGUAAGUAUUAAAAUACAAAUGAAUGUGGUUUAAAAAAAUCUCAGGGGACACUGGAAAGCAAACAUUUAAAAACUAUUUUUUGUUCGGAAAUGGUUUGAGACUUGUUCAUUCAACAGGUCUGCACUACAAAAGGAUUGAAGUAACGUGCUAAAAGCCAUCUGGCCUUACCUUUUCAUAUAAAUCUUAUUUUUUAUUGACUUAGAGAGGCGGGUUCUUCCUUAAAGACCGGGCAUAUUGCCCACCCGCCAGCCCGCUGUGCAAACUAGAUCCCUCGCUUUCUGAAACGUACCAGAGUUGUGGGCAAUACAUUUCACUUAUUUGCACCAAUAGCUUUAAAAAUUAACACUGAUAAUGUUCAUGCAGCAGUCAAAAUGCUGUUUAUGCCCUCUGAUUGGCACUUCAAAUUAGUACUUCAGUUGGAAUGAAAGUAAGUUUAGGGCUGUCAACAGUCUUUAAGAAAGCCAUCUUUUCACUAAAAAAAUCUGUCACUUCUGAGGGUUAGGCCUUCUCUUAUCAGUGUGCUUAUUUCACUUUGCUUAUUUUAAUUAAAAUAGAAAAAAAAAAAAAACGAUUUCUUAGCUAUCAACCAAAUCUUCUUGGUCGGGUGAAUCCUCCCCAGGUAACUCCCGCCCCUCUGGCCUAAUCCGGUCCUGAUACCUUAGCAGCAGUCCACCUGCCUGACUCUUGAGCAAUAGUCCAUGUAAGCAACUGCAGGGCUAAAACGUGGCACCACAGUAAGACUAUUAUUUUUAUUGGAGUAGUGUUAUUGUGUUAGUGUUUCUAUACGUCUCAGUGUCUCUUUCUCACCUACGUCCCCAAGGAGGAUAUUGUCUUACAGACAUUGGUUUGUGGUUUAUUUCAAGACAGCACAUACAAUUUCAAAUAGGUGUUUUUUCUUACUAAGAUUUAUUGAGCAAUUCUGAAGUUAUCCCUAUUUUCAGUUAAAUUAUCCAUAACAAUGCCAAAGAAUAUAUAUUGUAGGUAGUCCUAUAUUUAAUAUUCUCAACAAGAAAACCUAAGAAACAAUACAUGGAAAAAUGAAACACCUUUUUUUAUGAUUUAUUUAUUUGAGAGAGAGAGAGAGAGAGAGAGAGAGAGAGAGAGCGCCUGGCAGGGAGGAGCAGAGGGGGAGGGAGAGAGAAAAUCUCAAACCUUCCCCAGUGAGCGUGGAGCCUGACUCAGGGCUCAAUCUCAUGACCCUGAGAUCAUGACAUGAGCUGAAACCAAGAGUCGGGCACUUAACCGACUGAGCCACCCAGGCUCCCCCAAACACCUUUAAAGUGAAUAUCAUUGUAAAAUAAGGUAACAAGGAAAGGUGAUUUCAGAUGUCCCCAAGAAGUCAUCACCCAACAUUAAAUCUGGAGGGAAAAAAAAAAAAGACUGGGUUGAUUAUCUUCCAUUCCAGAAGGCUUAAGGAAGUGAAGCGAACCAAAGGGUCAAUGUGCAAAAUAUGGUUUCACAAUGGUAUUGUGGAAAGACUCUGAUUAUCUCUUGUAAUAAAAGAGAGUCCUUUUGUAUUAUUUUUUUUUUCUCAUGUAGGUUAAACAACUAAAAGGGUGAAUGAAUCAUGUUCCAUAGCCUUUUCCAAAUGUAAUGAAAAAUAUCUGAAUCUUGGCUAUUUGUGAUUUGGGUCCUUUUUUCUUCAUAGGGAUUCAGACUUUUUAAUAAGCUUAGCAGUGCUGUCCAAUAGAACUUGCUGUAAUGGUGGAAAUGUUCUAUAAUCGGCACUGUUCAGAGUGGUAACUACUGGCUAUGAGGAGCUAUCAGGCACUUGAUAUUUAAUUAGCUUGGCUAAGGAUCUGAAUUUUUUUUUUUACUUAACUUUAAUGAAAAUUUAAUUAUCCACUCGUGGCCAGUGGCCACCAGAUUGCACAGGUGGCUGACCAGCCGCCUCACAUUGUUCUGCUGACCAGGUGAUGGUAUCAUGCAUCACACCACUUUAGGAGAGUCCUUGGGUUUGUUUCCAAAUUUUAACUUAAAUUCUACUUAGUACACAUGUAGUGUAAUAUUGGCUUCGGGGGUAGAAUUUAGUGAUUCAUCACUUAUAUACAACACCCAGUGCUCAUCAUAACAAGUGCCCGGCUCCUUAAUCUCCAUCAUCCCUCAUCCGUCCUCCACCCAGCUCCUUCCAUCCACCCUCAGUUUGUUCUCUAUCCUUAAGAGUCUAGGAGAUUCCCGAAGGGAUAUUUCAAGGAUCUAAUCUUGAAGAAAUUUAAGAAAUUCUUGAAGAGAUCUUUAAGAGAUUGUUUUAUCUGUGCAGUUUUUUUUUAAGUUGUAAAGAUAUAAGAUUUCAUGAACUUCUUAAAUACACACCAUGAGGGUACUACUGAUGCAAAAAGUGCCUUUGCCUCUAGGUAGAUCUGAGUAUGUAAAAGCAAUACAACCUAAAUGUGCCCUUAAGCUCCUAUUUGAAAUUAAAAAAAACAAAAAAAACAAAAAAACUUUUGCUUUUGAGGCACUAACAGUUCUUUUUUUAUAUAAAUAUAUAUAAAUAGGGAGAGGGCAUCUUAAGCCAGUCCCACACCUAAAGCAAAGCCCAAGGCAGGGCUUGAUCUCAUGUAUGACUUGAAGUGAAAAGUGAGAUGUUUAACCUACUGAGCCACACAGGUACCCCAGGCUGGUAGUUCUGAAAGUCGUCACACAUCCUCUCUCAUUUGAUUGUCACAACAACCAAUUGAAGUAAAUUGAGUCUCGGUCCAUAAAUCUUUUCAUUACACCAGUCCACCUACACAGGAGAAUUUUGUAUAAUAUAAUAUGGAUUAUCUCCAGGGGUGCCCAGGUAGCUCAGUUCAUUAAGCAUCCACCUGUUGGUUUCGGCUCAGGCCGUGAUCUUGUGGUCCUGAGAUGGCUUGAGGAUUCUCUUUCCCUCUGCCUCUCCCCCCACUUGUUCUCUCUCUCUCUCUCUCUCUCUCUCAAAUCAAUGAAUGAAUCUUAAAAAAAAAAAAAAGAAAAAAAUUAUUUCCAGAUCUUAGAAGUGUUCCAGCUCUAAAGACCAAGUUAUUUUUCUCUUAAUUGCACAUUAGUGAUCAAAAAAAGUAUUUGUUGGUAAAAUAAAAUAAGAAAACAAAUGAACAUGGGGUGUGAACAUAAUACAUAACUUCAUAAUGUCCUAACUUUUUAUCUGGAGGAAGGAAUCUUAGCAUACUUUCGAAAACCUCAAUAAAUGUCACAUAGUAAUCACAAUUUGUUCACAGAACUCACAGCUUCUUAAUGGUUUUAUUUAUUUUUUUAAUGGUU
rnacentral:lncRNA from 1 species